rnacentral:lncRNA from 1 species
AGUGAGUCCAGGGAAAUUCUAGUGUGUAAGGGCUGAAGAACAGCUCCUCAAAUUGCUCCCAGUUGCUCAGCUCCUGGAGGUGACCUGCUCUGAAGAAUGGCUGCAUUGUCCCAUGAUGUUUGGAGAAGCAGGAUGACAUGAAGUCCUGAAGGCAGAGCAGUAAAGUUGUCAAAGUAUGUCCAUAUGCAUUGCUGUGUCGUGCAAUUGUUUAGUACCA